AUGAGGAUUCCGGUGAGUGACAGCCUCGCAGUUUCUGCACCUGGGUAUCGCUGUGUGGCUUUCCUAGUGAGUAUCAGCAUGAGAUUUCACCUUAGGCUCAGCCAGAGUGGAGGAGGUCGAGGACCGCCCUCGGGGAAGGUAGGAAUCAGGUGGUGGGUUAGGGUUAGGACAGGGGAGCACGGCACCGCAGGAGUUCACAAGGCAGACAAUUUGGGCGUGAGAGGUAAGGUGAGGGCAGUGACUUUUGUGAAGCUCGGAUGUGCCGUGGAUUUCCCUCGGACCGGAUUCUUGCCGCCUUGACAGAAUCGGG
rnacentral:lncRNA from 1 species